UAUUAAGCUGUGAAGAAGAAGAGUAGUUAUUUUUGUGUUUUAUACAGAGAGCAUGGGGAAGGUGAGACUAUGUGUUGCAAAAAUUUACGAAUUAUGACUUUGGAGCAUUAAUGCUAAAACAUUAACGGUUGUCAUCCGAUAUAGUGACUUAGAGGCAUAUUAUUUUAGUGAAUAACUAACAACUAAUGAAAAUAUGCAAAGUAAGGUGGUAACACGAAAUAUAAACUCGUCCUUAUA
rfam:Clostridium tetani E88, complete genome.